UAAUUACAUACAGUAAUUAACUGUUUUACAAUUAUAGUUAUAAUCAUUAUAAUAAAUACAAAUUAAGAACACCAAAUGAAGAGGUACAUAGGUCAAACUAGGAGGGAAUGCAGAGUGUCCAAGGCCUUUUCUCAAGGAAUGAACUCCUUAUAGAGUGAUAAAUUUGAGAUUAUUUGACAGCCAAAUGGAGAGGUCAAA